rnacentral:rRNA from 1 species
AAUGAACGCUGGCGGCGUGCCUAACACAUGCAAGUCGGAUGUGCCGCAAGGUGCAUGGCAGACGGGUGAGUAACGCGUGGGCAAUCUACCUAUCAGUGGGGGAUAACGAUCCGAAAGGAUUGGUAAUACCGCAUGCGACCAUCGACUGGGAUGUUGGUGGUGAAACCUGGGGACCGCAAGGCCUGGGGCUGAUAGAGGAGCCUGAGUCGGAUUAGCUAGUUGGUGGGGUAAAGGCCUACCAAGGCGACGAUCUGUAGCGGGUCUGAGAGGAUGAUACGCCACACUGGGACUGAGAGACGGCCCAGACUCCUACGGGAGGCAGCAGUGGGGAAUAUUGGACAAGGGGGGGAACCCUGAUCCAGCCAUGCCGCGUGUGUGAAGAAGGCCUUAUGGUUGUAAAGCACUUUAAGCGAGGAGGAGGCUACUGAGACUAAUACUCUUGGAUAGUGGACGUUACUCGCAGAAUAAGCACCGGCUAACUCUGUGCCAGCAGCCGCCGUAAUAC